ACCACAGUGUCAAAACAUCUGACAUUUAUCAAUCCCUCCAAAAUAUGAAAAUAAAGAUUAAAACACAAACGCAGACAAAUGUAGAACAUAUAUAAAACAUAUGGUUGCCAUACAUAAAAACUAGAAAAAUUGCAUUUCCUUGCAGGAAAUGCUGAGUGCUUGAAAUCUGAAAAAGCAAUGCAAAACUGCUAAAAAAAAAUGGAGGAAGGUUUAAAUGUAAAAUUGGUUAAAGGGCUGGAGAAAGAGAAGUAGAAGUUGGAUGAAAGUGAAAAUUGCUGAAGUACAAACAGUAUGAAUGUGCUUCAUAAAUUAAAAUUGCAUUCAUGCUGAAUAAGACUAGAAAAACUGUCUGAAAUUGCAAAAAAAAUGGAUAAGGAAGAAAAUUACCUUAAAACUCAGAAAAGUGAUAAGUGGCAUAAGUUGAAGUUGAAGUACUACAAGUAGUAUGAUAAUAGGUAGUUGUAGUAGUGAUAUUAGUAGUCAUGUAAGCAGUAGAAGUAGUUUUAGAAUAUAAGAAGUAGAAGUCAAAGCAGUAGAGCUUGUGGUAGAAGUAAGAGUAGAAGUAAAAAAAAUAUUAAGAGAAGCAAGAGUAGUGGAGGUAGAAGUGAAGAUAGUUAAAGUGACAUAAGUAGUAAUUGUAGUGGUAGAACUGGGAUUUUGUUUGAAGAAUUAAAACAUACUUGUAUGUAUUUAUGUAUAAAUAAUGAGAAUGAUUUUGAAAUGGGAAAAUUUUUUAUAUAAUUACAAGUCCUAAAGUGUUAAACAGGUUUGAAGUAUCAGAAAGGUUUGAAUGAGUUUGAAUGAGUUUCGAUUUGUCUGAAGAAUUGAAUAAUGCAUGAAUAAUGAAAAUAAUUUUAAAGUGGGGAAAAGUUAAAUGGAUAAAAAUCUUGAGUACACCCCAUAAUGUCCUGAAUGAGCUGAAUUUUUGGAGCCCUUAAUGGUUUCUGUAGGUAAAAGUUUGUGGUAGGAGAUAUGGGCCAAAAUUUGUAAAGUGCUCUGGUGAAGGGUUUUAAAUGUAACCCCCAGUGCUCUGUGUACUGAGCCUGGCUUCAUGUGUCUCAUAUGGCCAUCAGAAGCUAGCCUGGCUGGGCCAUCCAGUUGCGUGAAUCACUUGCCGUUCCUUCCCACAAAAUCCUGGGGCCUCAUGUAUCAAUACUUGCGUGGAACUCAUACCAGAAACGAGCGCACGCAAGGUCCGUCACGCUGAAAAAAAUCCGUAUGUAUCAAUGUGUGCGGGCGCCGAAAUCCACGUGUGUUUCCUUGAUAAAUCCCAAUCAGCGUGGAAUUGAGCGCAGAUGUCGGAGUGACUGGGCCCGUCCCCGUUACGCCCUGACAUAAAUAUGCAGAUUUAUUUAAAUCGGGUCUCCCUGUCCUCGCACGCAGACAAAAUGACAAGAAAAACUAAAUUUACGGCGUGCGAGGUGGAGGUGCUGGUGGCGGAGGUGGAGGAGCGACAGCGUGUUUUGUUUGGCAGCCUGUCCAGUGGCAUCAGUGCAAAACGGAAACGCUUGGAGUGGGAGAAAGUUUGCGAGAGGGUGAACGCGGUGGGUUCCGAGACACGCACCUCCGCGGGGAUUAAAAAAAGUGGUCGGACCUCAAGGUGGAGGUCAAGCGGCGUACAGCUGCCCUCCGGAGGAGUACCGGCCAGACAGGUGGGGGUCCGGGGGAGGAGACCCUCACACCGUUUGAGCAGCGAGUGGUGGCGAUUAUUAUUAUAGGGUAAGUGGCGUGUCACACAAAUGUCCACAUGCUUUGUCAUCCCACUGAGCAAAAGACGUAUAUUAGACGUCUAGUCUAAGUUUAUACUUCAUUUCAACGUCGGGAUUCAGUCUAUUUUUAGACGUGAUUUAUACUUCGCCCUUAACUUCACUUUUCGAUAACUUUUUAUGCAAUAAACAACUGUAAUGUGCAUAACUGACCUCUAAAUACUGGAUUACAUUACCUAUGAUACCGUGGAGAGAGAUGUAAACGUAACAGAUACACAGAAGCAGGAAUUGAAAUGAACAAAUAUUUUUUAUUGUGACACAGAAAUCAACGUGUCGGCCGUGUCGCCGGCUUGCGGAACCCCGGCCCGCGGCAGCCCGUCCGCCGGCUCAGAGUCGUCGGCCAGGACCAGCGGCAUUCGGGCCACCCCGGCCCCAGCACCAGCAUCAGCACCAGCGCGCCGACAAGUGGUGGAGCGUCCACCAGCCGCGGCGCUUCCGCUGGACGCAGUGGAAGGGUCCUCGCGGAGGGGGUCCUGCAUUCGCAGGAAGAAAUCAUCAGGGGGAUCGCGGAUAUCAACGAGCGGCUGGACCGGCUCGUAAAUUUCCUCGAGCGUCUGGUGGAGAAAAUAAAUUAAUUUGGCUCAUUGAACAACUGUGUAUUCACUUCUUACCCAUUCACACUGUGGCGAUGAGAUUCUCCCGCGCGAGGACGGCGGCCGGCGGUGAUCAGCUCGCAUCCCUCCGUCUGCUGCUGGUAGUCAUGUGGGGCGACGUGCUGCUCGGCCACGGGGAUGUGGUGCACGCUUGUCACAUAGUGAGUCACCAAACACCGCCACACAGCGUCGCCAAAGUGCGAAUCACAGUCAACGCAAAUAUCAGCUCAACGCCAAUUUCUACACCACCUCCUGACUUUGCGUUGAUUAGCGCUGGAACCGACGCUCGUUUCGUGAUGAUAAAUCUGGACGUGUGCGCCGAUUUUGGCGUACGCAAGGUUUUCUUGCGCCGCAAGCGUUGAUACAUGAGGCCCCUGGACUUCGGCCAAUUGGGAGCCCUAAAAGUGGGCGGGAGUACUUUCCUUGACAGACAGACUACUGUAACCAAACAUCUGACAUCAUGACAGUGCGCAACUGUGUUCCCUGCUGGGCUCUCAAGCAUCAAGUAAAGGUUUGGUAAUAUUUCAACGUGUACGAGCAAACAAUGUCUUUUAUGUCUUUUUCUGCUGAUAUAAAUGAUUUCUGCCGACUUUGCAAAGUCAAGUGCAGAAUUAACAGCGUUCUGAAUAAACGGCGCUUUGAAAAGUCCCGCAGCAUGUGUUAGACGUCUCCAUCUACACAUGGACCAAUCAGGGGCUGCCUUUCCCUGUUGUCCAGGGAACAGUGGAAACACAGUCACUGCUUGGCCCAUUUUUUUUUUCUGAUUUGUAAUACACGCUCCCAAUUGGCCGAAGUCCAGACUGUUGUGGGAAGGAACAGCAAGUGAUUCACGCAACUGGAUGGCCCAGCCAGGCUAGUUAGAAGCAGCUUUCCAGUCAGCUGUGUGUCUCCAGGUGCACUAAUUGGUUGCCAUGGGAAUGGUAGAUGCAUAACUACAGCAGGAGAAAGAAGGCUUGAAGCUGAGAAAAAAAAUCCAAAACUAUGCCCUAAAGCUCAUUCUCUGUAAUGGCUACAUUCAUGACAAGAAACUUGUGAGAACCCCACGACUCUGCUGAACAUAUUGAUACAAUCAAUUCACAAAAUCCUAAAUACACCCCAUAAUGUCUUCAAUGAGCUGAAUUUUUGGAGCCCUGAUGGUUUCUGUAGGUCAAAGUUUGUGGUAGGAGAUAGGGGCCUAAGUUUGUCAAGUGCUCCGGUGAAGGGUUUUAAAUGUAACCCUCAGUGCUCUGUGUACUGAGCCUGGCUUCCUGUAUCUCAUAUGGCCAUUAGAAGCAGCUUUUCAGUCAGCUGUGUGUCUCCAGGUGCGCUAAUUGGUUGCCAUAGGCAGUGAGACACACACCCACACACACACAUUGUCAGACUGUGUGUGUGUCUCGUUUAGGAUUUUAUCCUAAGCAGCUGUGAGAUCAAAGGCAUUAACUAACUUCUGUUUGAAUGAGAAGCUCUUCUUCACCUCGCUCUGUCAGCUAAAAACUUUUUUGUGAAACUUGCUUAUAUAUGUAAACUCAGUGAGUGUACAGGUCAAGGUUGCCCCCCAGUGUCCUGAAUGAUAUUUUUUAUGUUUCAGAACUGGUAGUCCUCGCUUUGUGGGUCUUUUCUCAUAGACCUCACAAAGCAGCAAGUACAAGAAUGUGUGUGUGUGUGUGUGUGUGUGUGUGUGUGUGUGUGUGUGUGUGUGUGUGUGUGUGUGUGUGUGUGUGUGCUAAUUAAUGCAUCUUAACAGGUGUCAGACAUCAAAGGCAUUAACUGACCUACUGUUUGAAUGAGAAGCUGCCUAACUGCAGUGAAUUUAGGGCCUCUGAACUUCGUCACAUAGCACGAUUUCCUUAAAUCCCAGAAUGAAAAUAAGAACGUCGUACGAAUCCUCCACCCUUCAUGAACACAAUGAUGUGUUUUUCAUGUCUGUACUCUAAAAAAUGUGGCCACAACAGCGAGUUAAAAAAGUCUGAGCCUGAGUGAUGAUAAGGAUUUUCUUGGAGAAAAAUUACAUUAGGGUUAAUGGGAGAGACUUCCGCCUAUUUGGACAGUUGGUCACCUGCUGGCCAAGGAGUAGGAUUUAAUGAUUUGAAACCUCUUUUGUGAGAAGCAGGACACAUAUACCUCCAUUUUGAUGUAUUUUUUAUGGCUGUGGAGUGAAAUUUGUGGGCGUGGGAGCGAUAUAUUCGAGCGGGGUUCUGUCGAUCCAAGAGUAGGUCUGCACUCUAGCGAUGUAAUCAAACACUCUAGCCUCUCCAAUACACACCCAUUAUAAAGCCUGAAAUUUGCUGAAAACCACGAGUUGCUUAAAGCUAAAUUGUGGGAAAACUGUAAAAGAUAUCACAACAAAGUGAAUACAAGAUUAAUAGUCGACAAGUUAAUGGACAUUUUAAAGCAAAAAUUAGGUCUCUAUGUGAAAGUAUGCUGAAGUUACAACGCUUAGAAGGUGGAAGAAUAAAAGGAAGAAUUGGAAGAUUUCCCCAUAUAUAAAAACUAGAAAAAUUGCAUUUCCUUGCAGGAAAUGCUGAGUGCUUGAAAUCUGAAAAAGCAAUGCAAAACUGCUAAAAAAAAAAUGGAGGAAGGUUUAAAUGUAAAAUUAGUUAAAGGGCUGGAGAAAGAGAAGUAGAAGUUGGAUGAAAGUGAAAAUUGCUGAAGUUCAAAGAGUACGAAUGUGCUUCAAAAAUUAAAAUUGCAUUCAUGCUGAAUAAGGCUAGAAAAACUGUCUGAAAUUGCAAAAAAAAUGGAUAAGGAAGAAAAUAACCUUAAAACACAGAAAAGUGAGAAGUGGCAUAAGUUGAAGUACUAGAAGUAGUAUGAUAAUAGGUAGUUGUAGUAGUGAUAUUAGUAGUCAUGUAAGCAGUAGAAGUAGUUUUAGAAUAGAAGAAGUAGAAGUCAAAUCAGUAGAGCUCUGUGGGAACUCAUAUAUCAUACCUAUCAUUUAGUCAUUGUUUCAGGUAACUAACUGUUUUCUUAUUGUGUUUACAUUAUUUUGUGUGCUCAUUGCGGACAUGUACUGAUGAGUAAGAUAAGAAAGUUUAAAGCUAACACGGGGGCAAUUGAUCACUGUGUCACAACGCAUAGAAGAGAGACUCUCAGUAAAGAAAGAUUUUAGCUUAUGCCUAGAAGUGCCAAGGGUUGGUAAGUAUGGUUUUAAACUAUUCUGCCUUAACAGUCAUUUAUAUUUUAGCUUAUGCCUAGAAGUGCGAAGGGUUGGUAAGUAUGGUUUUAAACUGUUCUGCCUUAACAGUCAUUAUUUGAAGUGUGUAUUAUAAUCAUAACAGUCAUUUAUUAAAAAGUGUGCUUUAUAAUCAUCACAGUCAUUCAUUAAAAGUGUUCCUUAUAAAAGUGCUCUAUGACCCUGACAUAUGCUCUAGAUAAUGAUGUGCCUUUGAUAAACAGACGUGCAGGUGUAGCUCAGAAAUGUGAACAACAGGGUGAGAGAGGAAGAUCACUGUGUCCUGAGAAGAUGUGGAGAUGUAAAGGGAGGGUUUGCAUGCCCAGCAGUCUGACCAGUGGGAACUCAGUGAAGGCCCGGAAUACAUGACGCAAAUAAGAUAAAAAGGAGACAGGCACUGUGUGCAUCCAAGGUCAACUUCCCCCAAACCACAGUCUUGGUUAGGUAAAAAAAAACACAAGAAUACGUGCUUGUUUGUCCUUAGAGAAACACUUGGGACUGCUGGUUAUGUAAACUCUCCGCCCAUAAAGAUGAUGAGACGCCUCAAGUGUAUAAAGAUUAACUACUGAAAAAUAGUAAUCAGAACACUUCAGAGAUACCAUUGGGUUGAUGUUGUGCUCUCCAAGAUAUCUGGUGUUAUUUGCUGUGCCGAAAUAAAAGGUUUGUUGAAGACACCCUUUUGCCUCAUGAAUCCUCUGUUCCAGUCUCCAUCAACGGACUCAGGGAAGUUUGGAAUAACUUCAACAGCUCGUGGUAGAAGUAAGAGUAGAAGUAAAAAAAUAUUAAGAGAAGCAAGAGCAGUGGAGGUAGAAGUGAAGAUACAAGUUAAAGUGAUAUAAGUAGUAAUUGUAGUGGUAGAACUGGGAUUUUGUUUGGAAAAUUAAAACAUACAUAAAUAAUGAGAAUGAUUUUGAAGUGGGAAAAAUUUAAAAUAAUUAGAAGUCCUAAAGUGUUAAACAGGUCUGAAGUAUCAGAAAGGUUUGAAUCAGUUUGGAUUUGUCUGAAUGAAAAUAAUUUUAAAGUGGGGAAAAGUUAAAUGAAUACAAAUCCUGAGUACACCCCAUAAUGUCCUGAAUGAGCUGAAUUUUUGAAGCCCUGAAUGGUUUCUGUAGGUCAAAGUUUGUAGUCCUCGCUUUGUGGGUCUUUUCUCAUAGACCUCACAAAGCAGCAAGUACACGUAUGUGUGUGUGUGUGUGUGUGUGUGUGUGUGUGUGUGUGUGUGUGUGUGUGUGUGUGUGUGUGUGUGUGUGUGUGUGUGUGUGUGUGUGUGUGUUAAGUCCAUGUAGAGUCUCAUUCAUCCAGGUCAUGGUUAUCUUGAAGACUUAAAAACAGGCAACUGGACUGUGUAGAGUUGAGAAAGUUUCUCAGUUAAUCAUUUGUCAGUUAAUGCCUUUGAUCUCACAGCUGUUUAGGACACAAUCAUUAACGAGACACACACACACACAGUCUGACAAUGUGUGUGCGUGUGUGUCUCUGUCCAGGGGACCUGUAUGUACACAUAGUUAAUACUGUAUGUGUCUGCUUCACCACCUAUCUCCACCCACAAACUUUGAGCUACAGGAACCAUUCUGGGGUUCAAAGAUUCAGCUCAUUGAGGACAUUAUGGGGUGUAUUUAGGAUUUUGUUAAUUAAUUGUAUCAAUAUGUUCAGCAGAGUCGUGGGGUUCUCACAAGUUUCUUAUCAUAGUGGAGUCCCUAAGCCCAAAAAAUAAGCUGUUAACUUCAAGUCAUGAUACAAAUAUCCCCUUUGGUAUGGAAGUACCUUAGGGUCAUAGGAAACAUUUUAUCCAAAGAGACAAGUUAGAUCACCCUUCAAUUUUUUUUAAUAGCCAUUUUAAAAAUGGCCGCCGACAAUAAACCGCUAAUACACCAGACCCCAUAUCUUUUCUUCUGUUGGAGCUAUAAUCAUAAUAUUGGUGUCAAGGUGCACAUUUUUGGGGUCUAGGAAUUCAAUUAAAUAGGUUUCAAUGUAAAAAAACCCAAUGCUUCAUUAAUUACCAUGACAGUGGGAGGUAAAAUAUGCUAAUUUCGUGAAAAAAUAUAAGUUUUGACAGGGUAACUUACCCCCCCACCCCUCCUCCUAAAGUGAGAUUUACUUUUCCUUUGGCAUGGAUGUACCUUAGGGCCAUAGGAAACAUUUUAUCCAAAGAGACAAGUUAGAUCCCCCUUCAAUUUUUUUUAAUAGCCAUUUUAAAAAUGGCCGCCGACAAUAAACCGCUUAUACACCAGACCCCAUAUCUUUUCUUCUGUUGGAGCUAUAAUAAUAAUAUUGGUGUCAAAGUGCACAUUUUUGGGGUCUAGGAAUUCAAUUAAUUAGGUUUCAAUGUAAAAAACCCAAUGCUUCAUUAAUUAUCAUGACAGUGGGAGGUAAAAUAUGCUAAUUUCAUGAAAAAAUAUAAGUUUUGACAGGGUAACUUACCCCCCCACCCCUCCUCCUAAACUGAGAUUUACUUUUCCUUUGGCAUGGAAGUACCUUAGGGCCAUAGGAAACAUUUUA
rnacentral:lncRNA from 1 species